UACAGAGGGGCAAGCGUUGUUCGGAAUUACUGGGCGUAAAGGGCGCGUAGGCGGCCUUCUAAGUCGAACGUGAAAUCCCCGGGCUCAACCCGGGAACUGCGUCCGAGACUGGAAGGCUUGAAUCCGGGAGAGGGAUGUGGAAUUCCAGGUGUAGCGGUGAAAUGCGUAGAUAUCUGGAGGAACAUCGGUGGCGAAGGCGGCAUCCUGGACCGGUAUUGACGCUGAGGCGCGAAAGCCAGGGGAGCAACGGGAUAGA
rnacentral:rRNA from 1 species